ACAGAAGGCUCUCUGGGGCCAGACUCUGUUGAUGUUAACACCACCAGCCGCACUACCAUUACUCUUUAUGGGGGGCACGUGAUAAGGGAUAAACACAAUAAUAAUCUCCAGUAUUCAUUAGAAAUUUUCUCAAAGUAAGCACUAUUCUAGGUGUUUUAUACUUGUUAGCAUUUUAUCUUCAAAUACCCUACGAACUGGUAAAAUAAUUAUGAUGAUGAUUAAUCUCGUCACCCCCAUUUUACAGAUGAGGAAACGGAGGCUCCCAGGAGUAAGAACGACUUACGCAGGUCACCACCCCAGAGCUACACCCUCAGCCCCUGCACCGUCUGCUCCCAUCUCACUGAACCUCCACCAAGUUCCAGAGGAACAGGGCCACCCCCGCUUCACAGAUCAAGCCACUGAGGCUCACAGAGGGAGACGGAACAGCUUGUCCCCACGCCUUUUCAUCCUUCCAGACAACAAAGCCACAGAGGCCAGGCCGGUGGCCCCUCCUCUGCUCCACCUGGGCUGGUUUGCUGUCUUCUGUUCUGAGACUCUGAGCCCAGCCCCUGCCCAGUGGUGCUGGCCCUAGGCCACCUGCCCAGGUGUCCCAAAGACCCAGCUGCUCCUCCCUGGCGCAGAGCAGGGGGUGGCGGGGCAGGCAGAUGGCUGAGACCUGGGGCUUCUGGAGACUCCACAGUCACUGAGUCCAGGGCAGCUCCCCUCCAAGCAGCACAGUCUGUCGGACCACUCGGGGCUUGCCUGGUGCUGGAGUCCUGCACGCCUAGGCCUUUUCUGCCAAGGUGGUUUUGUGUUCGGCAUCCAUGCAUGGGCUCACUGGUCUGUUCAUUCACCAUCUUACUGGGAGCCUUGGGCUGGUCUCUGAGCCCAAAGAAACGCCAAGGGGCAGGAGACUGGUAAUAAGGAACCUUUCAAGCCACCUUCCCAGCAAGUUCUGAAACACUGGAACAGGCCCAGGUCAGUGCGGGUGCAGAGGACUGUCGACCACCCCACAGUGCUCAGCAGCCUGGAAGGGCUGACUCUGAGACGAGCCUGCCCUGCGUUUAAGCAUGCUUCCUCCUGGGCCCCCACUGCUCAGAGAUUCUCCAGUGGCUGCAGAUGGGCUAUUCCCAGGACAAGAAAGGGGAUAUGGGCUGUGGAUUCCAGAGAGGACCCGGGGCAUCUGGGAUGCGCUCCCCUGUGAUUCUCCUGGGAGGAGCCGAGUUCGACAGAGUUGACUGUGGGUAUGUGUAUGUUCGGUGGUUAUGUGACUGAAGUUUGGCCAAUCAGAGCAUCACAUCCUCCUGGCCCCCUGAUAGGUUCAGGGAUGAACAUAUUUCUAAGUGGGUCCACAGAGACCCAGUCUGCACUCCAGUGGGAUGGCUCAGAUGAGAGAGGAUCUGUGUACGAGAUGUGGAGCUUUGGAUACGUAAUUGCCCCAAGGCUGCCAGGGGAGAGAGCUUGUCUGAGAGUGAAGUACAGCUUCCAUGUCUGAAGGUCACUGUUUGAGGACCUGGAUCCAGCCAUGCCCGAAGCUGGAAAUACCUAGACUUUACUAAGAGCCAACUUCUUCUAUACCCAAGUCAGUCUGAGUCAGGCUUUCUGGCACUCAUCUAAGAGACCUGGCUGAAUAGGAAGAAAGACAACUGGAGAUAAAGGCGGAGAGUGGCUGGGUGUAGUUUGGGAGAAGUGACAGGGAAACACUCUAGUUGGAUGGCAGUGUUAAAUGGUGUUUUAUGAAUGACGAUGUCAAAUAUUCCACUUGAAACUAUUUGCAUCAUGGCAGCGUAACCCACGUCUUCCCCUCUGGCUCCUCAGUCAGGUCUACUACAGAUACACAGAAGUGAUGAAUCAGCUAUAGCCAUUUGAAAGAACACAGAGCCAAGGUCAAACACUGGAAGGGGAGAUGCCCGGCCUGUGUGAGGGGCAGGCGAUGGAGCUGAAAUGCCCACGAGGGGUCAGGACCGAGGUUCUGAUGUCACAAGUAGGGACAGGGUCAUAAGACCCUGUGUGGUGAGUUAGGAGGAGGCCCCCUGCACGAAGCCAGGGGCCGGCCAGGGAGGGGCUGUCUCGUCCAUGAACAGAGGUGAGAAAACCCCACUUACUGGCCUUGGGAUGUUGUCCUUAGGGAAGGACCUCAACCUGCAGGUAGGAAACUCUGAGCUAAGAAAUGAACCGAAAAAUCAGCCCAGAAUCAGGCCCCGGUGGUGGCAGAGGACGAACUCCAUGCCCAGGAUCAUGGCUUCUGCCAAAGAUGGGCUCACAGUCGGCAGCCACAAAGCAUGCUGGGAACUUGACACCCUGGAGGAAAGAGCUUGGCAAGCUGGGGACCGCAGCGAUCCCAGAGAGACUGCCCGAGGAGAGGCUUACCUGGGAAAAAGGCAGGAGCAGCCACGUGACACAAGCUAGUCAAGCUGACGGAGGUGAAAGUUCCAGUGGAGAAGAGGGAUCUCUCCCUGGAGACAAAGGCAAAGCGCACUAGAAGAUUCUUCCCACCACCACCGUCACCGGUUCUUUUAUGCCUGGACAGCAGAUGUGAGGCCUGGAGGCACAGCAGCCAUCUUAUAAUCGUGAGUCAACAACAAAAAAGGUAACGUGGAAAGACAGAACAUGGGCUGAGGGGGCAGGCAGACCUUCUCCACUUCCUGGCUGUGUGGCCUCAGAGCCUCACUUCCCACAACCUAUCAGAUGGCAAUGAAAACCCCUCCCUCGCACAGUCCUUGCGGGGACUGAACAGGCGCUGGGUGUGAACCCAGCCCGCAGUGCAAAGAGCCAGCCCCGUGUUUGUAGUCACUUCUAUAGCCAUCCUGUAAAGGACAGUUAGUUUAGGGCGAAAGAAAGAAGAGACCCUUUAUUUCUCUUCUUGGGGAAAGUUCCUCAGCUGGACACCGGCCUCAAGCCAGUGCGCCCCACUCUUCAUCCGAUCAGCUAUGCAAACAGGAAGUGACUGUCCAAACAUUUGGAGCUGCAGGAGGCUGGCCCAGGGUGGGCCUCCUCCCUCCGCUGCUGUGCCGUCUCAUCUCCCAGCUGGGAGCGCCUCAGAAGUCAAGGGCACGGUCCCUCCUGGGAGGAACGAGGUUCAAAGCCACCCCUUCUGACUGCCCUGCCCACCAGGCUGGGCCAGACCACCUUCCUCCCAGGCUGGAGGCGGACAACAGCCUCUCUGCAGGCUCCCACUGUCUCCUGCCCUUCUCUCUGUCACGACUGGAGCCAGAGUGAUUUUUUUUUUUCAAUGCAAGUCUGUUCCUGUCACCCUUUUGCUUAGAACUUUUUUCUAGGGCUUCAUUCUCUCUUGAAGGAAAGGCUAAAGUCCUUGCCACGGCCUUUGGGGUUGGCCUGGCCUCCCCAGGUCUCCCCCUCCAGCUGCUCUUUUAGUUUCUGGACGGUGCCAAGGUCCCUCUGCCUCUGUGCUCGUUCCACAUCAUUCCCGUCUUCCAGCACGUACUCCCCCUCCCUGGCCCAUCUUGCCAGGUGACAUCCCUCCCUCCGCGUUCUGCCCGAGUGUCAGGUCUUCAUGUGCUGGGGAGGCUCCUGCCCAUCCCCCAUAGCGCUCAUCCAGCCUGCUGCUCACGUGGCAACUUCAUGUGGUCACGAGUGGCUGCCUGGGGAAAGGAUUUCAGGAUUUCCCCCCGCCCCGGGAUGUUUUGUUCACAGUUACGUCCUUAGUGCCCGACACAGCACCAAGCUGGUGCUCAGUAAAUGUGGAAGGCAGGCAGCCCAAGGGCCUUGCAAUUUGAAAGCGAGAGGGAGCUUUGCUUACUGAGGACUUAAGUGUGUGGGGCAGGACCUCACUGCCUCUUUACAGCCAUCCUGGCAGGCAGGGACUCCAAG